UGGGGAAUCUUGCGCAAUGCGCGAAAGCGUGACGCAGCAACGCCGCGUGGGGGAAGAAGGCCUUCGGGUUGUAAACCUCUUUCAGUUGGGACGAAGGCCUCGCGGUUAAUAGCCGUGGAGGUUGACGGUACCUUCAGAAGAAGCCCCGGCUAACUACGUGCCAGCAGCCGCGGUAAUACGUAGGGGGCAAGCGUUGUCCGGAAUCAUUGGGCGUAAAGAGCGUGUAGGCGGCCCGAUAAGUCCGCUGUGAAAGUCCAGGGCUCAACCCUGGAAUGCCGGUGGAUACUGUCGGGCUCGAGUUCGGAAGAGGUGAGUGGAAUUCCUGGUGUAGCGGUGAAAUGCGCAGAUAUCAGGAGGAACACCAAUGGCGAAGGCAGCUCACUGGGACGAUACUGACGCUGAGACGCGAAAGCGUGGGGAGCAAACAGG
rnacentral:rRNA from 1 species